UCGAGGGGUAACAGGAGUAGCUUGCUAUUUGCUGACGACCGGCGCACGGGUGCGUAACGCGUAUAGAAUCUACCUUAUACUGGGGGAUAGCCUUUGGAAACGAAGAUUAAUACCCCAUAGUAUUAUUUUUUGGCAUCAUUAAAUAAUUAAAGUUUCGGCGGUAUAAGAUGACUAUGCGUUCUAUUAGUUAGUUGGUAAGGUAACGGCUUACCAAGACUUCGAUAGAUAGGGGUCCUGAGAGGGAGAUCCCCCACACUGGUACUGAGACACGGACCAGACUCCUACGGGAGGCAGCAGUGAGGAAUAUUGGACAAUGGAGGCAACUCUGAUCCAGCCAUGCCGCGUGUAGGAAGACUGCCCUAUGGGUUGUAAACUACUUUUAUAUGGGAAGAAUAAGAUCUACGUGUAGAUUGAUGACGGUACCAUAAGAAUAAGCACCGGCUAACUCCGUGCCAGCAGCCGCGGUAAUACGGAGGGUGCAAGCGUUAUCCGGAAUCAUUGGGUUUAAAGGGUCCGUAGGCGGGCAUAUAAGUCAGUGGUGAAAGUCUGUGGCUNAACCAUAGAAUUGCCAUUGAUACUGUAUGUCUUGAAUUAUUGUGAAGUGGUUAGAAUAUGUAGUGUAGCGGUGAAAUGCUUAGAGAUUACAUAGAAUACCGAUUGCGAAGGCAGAUCACUAACAAUAUAUUGACGCUGAUGGACGAAAGCGUAGGUAGCGAACAGGAUUAGAUACCCUGGUAGUCUACGCCGUAAACGAUGGAUACUAGUUGUUUGGUNUUCGGACUGAGUGACUAAGCGAAAGUGAUAAGUAUCCCACCUGGGGAGUACGUUCGCAAGAAUGAAACUCAAAGGAAUUGACGGGGGCCCGCACNAGCGGUGGAGCAUGUGGUUUAAUUCGAUGAUACGCGAGGAACCUUACCAGGGCUUAAAUGUAGUCUGACAGCUUUAGAGAUAGAGUUUUCUUCGGACAGAUUACAAGGUGCUGCAUGGUUGUCGUCAGCUCGUGCCGUGAGGUGUCAGGUUAAGUCCUAUAACGAGCGCAACCCCUGUGGUUAGUUGCCAGCGAGUAAUGUCGGGAACUCUAGCCAGACUGCCGGUGCAAACCGUGAGGAAGGUGGGGAUGACGUCAAAUCAUCACGGCCCUUACGUCCUGGGCCACACACGUGCUACAAUGGUAGGGACAGAGAGCAGCCACUUAGCGAUAAGGAGCGAAUCUAUAAACCCUAUCUCAGUUCGGAUUGGAGUCUGCAACUCGACUCCAUGAAGCUGGAAUCGCUAGUAAUCGGAUAUCAGCCAUGAUCCGGUGAAUACGUUCCCGGGCCUUGUACACACCGCCCGUCAAGCCAUGGAAGCUGGGGGUACCUGAAGUCCGUCACCGUAAGGAGC
rnacentral:rRNA from 1 species